rnacentral:rRNA from 1 species
AGCGAACGCUGGCGGCAGGCUUAACACAUGCAAGUCGAGCGGGCACUCUCGGGUGUCAGCGGCGGACGGGUGAGCAACGCGGGGGGACGCGCCCGCGGGUUCGGAAUAACUCAGGGAAACUUGAGCUAAUACCGGAUACGCCCUUUGGGGGAAAGGCUUGCUGGCGGAGGAUGGGCCCGCGUCUGAUUGGGGAGGUGGUGGGGUAACGGCUCACCAAGGCGGGGAGCAGUAGCGGGGCUGAGAGGAGGAUCAGCCGGACUGGGACUGGGACACGGCCCCGACUCGUAGGGGAGGUGGCAGUGGGUAAUAUUGGGCAGUGGGCGCAAGCCUGAUCCGGCCCUGGCGCGUGGGUGAUGAAGGGCUUAGGGUUGUAAAGCUCUUUUGUCCGGGACGAUAUGGCCGGAACCGGAGGAAUAGGCCCCGCCUACCUUCUU